rnacentral:tRNA from 1 species
GCGCGUAUAGUGUUCAACGGCCAGCACGUCAGCUUUCCAUGCUGAAGGUGUAGGUUCGAAUCCUACUAUGCGCUCCA